rnacentral:lncRNA from 1 species
UUUUUUUAAUUAAAUUAUUUAUUUAUUUAUUUAUUUAUUUAUUUGGUUUUUCGAGACUGGGUUUCUCUGUGUAGCCCUGGCUGUCCUGGAACUCACUCUGUAGACCAGGCUGGCCUCAAACUCAGAAAUCCGCCUGUCUCUGCCCACCCCAGUGCUAGGAUUAAAGGCGUGCUCCACCACUCCUGGCAUUUGUGAGUAUUUUAUUACUUGCACCUAUGUCUGUGCACCACAUGCAUGUCUUCCCAAGGAUAAGGUAAGCCUCCACGUGGGUACUGGGAAUCGAAUCAGGGUAUUUGCAAGAGUACAUGUGCUUAACCACUGAGCCAACUCUCAAGCAGUCAUUUUACUACUUCAGAAUGGGUAAAUUAUAGAUGUAGUGAUAGAGCAUUCAUUAAGCUCUGUGUUCAAGUCUCACUACUACAAAUAUGAAAAAGAAAGAUGGGCAAGUUGAGGUUCAGACACUGUAUAUGGCUAAUGGAAACCAGGGAAAAAGGAUGCCUUUGGGAAAGGGAUUUUCUAGGUUUUCUAAACUAAGAGUGCAGUUAGUGCUGGCCUAGUGUGUCAACCCCUUAUUCAGUUCUAUCCUUAUACUGCACACACAAAGGAAAAUAGCCAAGGUCUUAGCAAAUUAACAAUUAAGCUGCAUUUAUGUCUAGCAAGGUUUGAUCUCUAGCAACUGUCAAAAAACAAAACAAACACACCCCACAGGCUUGGUGAGAUGGCUCAGUGAGUAAAGGGGCUUGGCAGUAAGCCUUUAUUCCUCAGGUCCUACAUGGUAGAAGAAUAGAACCAAUUCUGAUAAUGUGUUUUUUGAUCUCUGAAUGGACACCAUUGAAUCCAUGCACACACAAUACAUAAUAGUAAAUAAAUGUUUUAAAUGUCCUAAGAAUCUUUUUAAUCUUUUUUGUUUGUUUUUGUUUUGUUUUUUUUGAGACAGGGUUUCUCUAUGUAGCCCUGGCUGUCUUGGAACUCCCUCUGUAGACCAGGCUGGCCUCAAUCUCAAGAGAUCCACCUGCCUCUGCUUCCUGAGUGCUAGAAUUAAUGGCAUGCGCCACCACUGCCUGGCUUGUUUCUUUUUUUAAGACAGUGUCUAACUUUGUAGUCCUGGCUAACCUAGAACUCAUCAGACUCACAAGAGAUCCACUUGCCUGUGACUUCCAAGUGCUGGGAUUAAAGGUGCGUUCCACUACACAACAAUGUUUUGUAUUUUAAACUUGUAUCUUAUGAGUCUUUUGUCUGCAUUUAUGUCUAUUGACCACAAUAGUGCCUGGUACCUAGACACCAGAAGGGGGCUUCAUAUCCUCUAGUACUGUAGUUACAGAUAGUUACGAGCUUCCAUCUGGGUGCUGGGAAAUGACCCUGGGACUUCUUAAUCACAGCCAUCUCUCUAGCUUCCAACUUCUCAUUUUACAGUACUUUUAGGUUUAUAGAACAAUUGCAUAGAGAGUGUGGCAAGGUUCUGAAACUAAGCAUACUCAGCUUCAUCUACUAUGAAAAUUUUAUAUUAGCAUGAUAGAACUGACUCUUCAAAACAGUGCUGUUAUGAACUAAAGUUUAAUCAGACUUCCUUAGAUUUCACAUGGAGUCCCUUGUUCCAGGAUCCCAGUUACAGCAAAGAGCUCUCAUAUGUGUGCAUGAAUAUAGAGGGCAGAGGUUAAUGUCAGGCAUCUUGCCUGAGACAGUCUCACAGAGAUUUGCUUGCCUCUGCUUCCCUUCCCUAGAGCCAGGAUCAAAGGUGUGCACCAGUAUACCUGGCCCCAGCUUUUUUUUUUUUUAAUUUUUUUCUUCUUUUUAAUCACAUUUAUUUUAUUUUGUAGAGGCUCAGGUGUGCCACAGUACCCAAGUGGAGGUCAGAGGAGAAUUUAUGGGUUUGAUGGCAAACACCUUUUACCCACUGAGCUAUCUUGCUGGCCCUAUGCCCAGAUAUUUUAUGUGAGUUCUGGGAUUGAAUUCAUGUCCUUGUGUUUCAAGGAAAGCAUCUUAUUAAUUAAACUAUCAAGUCCCAAUCCACUUAAAAUUUUUCUACAUUUUUUUGGGACAUCAGAGAACAACUUAGAGGAGUUGUCUAUUCUUGUCUUCCUCUUCCACAAUAUGAGCCCAGAUAUCAAACCUAGAUCAUUAGGCUUGGGAGCAAGUGUGUUUACUUGCUGAGCCAUCUCACUAGCCCCUAGUCUACUUCUAGAAAAAAAAAAUAGAGUGCUGGCUGCUCUUUUAGAGGGCCUGAGUUCAGUUCCCACCACCCAUAUAGCAGCUCACAACCAUGUGCGACUCUAGUCCCAGAGAAUCUGACACCCUCCUCUGGUCUCUGAGAGCACUGCACAUAGGUAGUGCACAUACAUAAAUACAGGUAAAACAUUUCCACAUCAAAUAAAAUUUAAAAGUAAAUU